rnacentral:rRNA from 1 species
GACGAACGCUGGCGACGUGCUUAACACAUGCAAGUCGAACGGAAAGGCCCUGCUUUUGUGGGGUGCUCGAGUGGCGAACGGGUGAGUAACACGUGAGUAACCUGCCCUUGACUUUGGGAUAACUUCAGGAAACUGGGGCUAAUACCGGAUAGGAGCUCCUGCUGCAUGGUGGGGGUUGGAAAGUUUCGGCGGUUGGGGAUGGACUCGCGGCUUAUCAGCUUGUUGGUGGGGUAGUGGCUUACCAAGGCUUUGACGGGUAGCCGGCCUGAGAGGGUGACCGGCCACAUUGGGACUGAGAUACGGCCCAGACUCCUACGGGAGGCAGCAGUGGGGAAUAUUGCACAAUGGGCGGGAGCCUGAUGCAGCAACGCCGCGUGCGGGAUGACGGCCUUCGGGUUGUAAACCGCUUUCGCCUGUGACGAAGCGUGAGUGACGGUAAUGGGUAAAGAAGCACCGGCUAACUACGUG